rnacentral:tRNA from 1 species
GGAGUUGUGGUUCAGUGGUAGAGCACUUGCCUAGCAUGUAUGAGGCACUGGGUUCAAUUCUCAGCACCGCAA